rnacentral:tmRNA from 1 species
GGGGGUGUAAUGGUUUCGACAGGUGUGUGGAACAAAGAUAAGCGAGCCGUGGCGGUGAUCCACGUAAAAAGUACCCGUUAAAAAGAAACGCUAAAACAAACAACAAUUUCGCACUGGCUGCAUAGUUCAGCCCCGCGCGUCGGCCUCAGAUCACCUGCAGUCUGAGAAUCCGGCGUCGACCAUGCAGGGACCUCUUGCGUGAUCUCCCGGCAGCGUAAGAGUAUCUACGGGAUAGCGAGCCCCGAGUUUGCCGUUCUGGCGACGGGCGAGCGAAAUCUUAUCAGGCGGCUGCGCUCGGAGAAAGUUUUUCGGAAACAUUCUUGGACGUGGGUUCGACUCCCACCAUCUCCACCA